AUACGGAGGGUGCAAGCGUUGUUCAGAAUCACUGGGCGUAAAGGGCGCGCAGGCGGUUUUACAAGUCAGAUGUGAAAGCCCACGGCUCAACCGUGGAAGUGCAUUUGAAACUGUAAGACUUGAGUAUCAGAGGGGAAGGUGGAAUUCCCGGUGUAGAGGUGAAAUUCGUAGAUAUCGGGAGGAAUACCGGUGGCGAAGGCGACUUUCUGGCUGAAUACUGACGCUGAGGCGCGAAAGCGUGGGGAGCAAACAGGAUUAGAUACCCUAGUAGUCC
rnacentral:rRNA from 1 species